rnacentral:lncRNA from 1 species
UAGAACAGGAGGAUCGAUCAUUGGUUACAAAAUGGACUCCCCUUAACCAAAAGUAUGUUGAUGAGUGGAUAGGACCAGGCAGUCCUCGUAUUCGAAGCCCUUCAUCCAUCACACUAGAAAGCAUCCCUGAAACCGAGAAUAAUUCAAAGGAGCACGAAAGAGAUACCAAGAGUCUAAACCACGAGUUCAAGGGAACUGUGCCUUCGACAUCUAAAGAUGUUAGCAGUGUACAAAAUCAACAGGAGUAUGUUGAUGAGUGGAUAGGACCAGGUAGUCCUCGUAUUCGAAGACCUUCAUCCAUCACACUAGAAAGCAUCCCUGAAACUGAGAAUAAUUCUAAGGAGCAUGAAAAAGAUACCGAGAGUCUAAACCACGAGUUCAAGGGAACUAU